rnacentral:rRNA from 1 species
GGGUAGCGGAACACGUACGCAACCUUCCUUUAAGUGGUGAAUAGCUUUCGGAAACGAAAAUUAAUACACCGUAAUAUUAUGAAGUGGCAUCAUUUUAUAAUUAUAGCUCCGGCGCUUAAAGAUGGGCGUGCGUCUGAUUAGGUAGUUGGCGGGGUAACGGCCCACCAAGCCUGCGAUCAGUAACUGGUGUGAGAGCAUGACCAGUCACACGGGCACUGAGACACGGGCCCG